rnacentral:misc_RNA from 1 species
UCCCGCUUAUCACGGGCAGUUUCCUUAGAGUGCCCACCAUAACGUGCUGGUAACUAAGGACGAGGGUUGCGCUCGUUGCGGGACUUAACCCAACAUCUCACGACACGAGCUGACGACAGCCAUGCAACACCUGUCUCCUCUCCGGCCGAACCGAAGGUCUCAUUACAAGACCGGUAAGAGGGAUGUCAAAAGGUGGUAAGGUUUUUCGCGUUGCAUCGAAUUAAACCACAUGCUCCACCGCUUGUGCGGGUCCCCGUCAAUUCCUUUGAGUUUUAAUCUUGCGACCGUACUCCCCAGGCGGGGUGCUUAACGCGUUAGCUACGUCACCGAAACUUAAAGUCCCAAUAACUAGCACCCAUCGUUUACAGCGUGGACUAC